rnacentral:piRNA from 1 species
AACCAGGGAGUACUCCACAACCACUGC